AGCGAACGUUAGCGGCGGGCCUAACACAUGCAAGUCGCACGAGAAAGUGGCUUCGGCCAUGAGUAAAGUGGCGGACGGGUGAGUAACACGUGGGUAAUCUGCCCUUUGGCGGGGGAUAACUGUCCGAAAGGAUAGCUAAUACCGCAUACGUCGGCGGGGUCUUCGGACCCUGCCGGGAAAGCCGGCCUCUUCAUGAAAGCUGGCGCCGAAGGAGGAGCCCGCGGCCCAUCAGCUAGUUGGUGAGGUAACGGCUCACCAAGGCUUAGACGGGUAGCUGGUCUGAGAGGAUGAUCAGCCACACUGGGACUGAGACACGGCCCAGACUCCUACGGGAGGCAGCAGUGGGGAAUAUUGGGCAAUGGGCGCAAGCCUGACCCAGCCACGCCGCGUGAGUGAUGAAGGCCUUCGGGUCGUAAAGCUCUGUGGGGAGGGACGAAAGCCCGUCACCUAAUACGUGGCGGUUUGACGGUACCUCCUUAGCAAGCACCGGCUAACUCCGUGC
rnacentral:rRNA from 1 species